rnacentral:rRNA from 1 species
UAGGGAAUUUUCCGCAAUGGACGAAAGUCUGACGGAGCAACGCCGCGUGAGUGAAGAAGGAUUUCGGUUCGUAAAACUCUGUUGUUAGGGAAGAAAAAAUGUAUAGUAACUAUAUACAAAAGAGACGGUACCUAACCAGAAAGCCACGGCUAACUACGUGCCAGCAGCCGCGGUAAUACGUAGGUGGCAAGCGUUGUCCGGAAUUAUUGGGCGUAAAGCGCGCGCAGGUGGUUUAGAAAGUCUGAUGUGAAAGCCCACGGCUCAACCGUGGAGGGUCAUUGGAAACUAAUAAACUUGAGUGCAGGAGAGAAAAGUGGAAUUCCUAGUGUAGCGGUGAAAUGCGUAGAGAUUAGGAGGAACACCGGUGGCGAAAGCGGCUUUUUGGCCUGCAACUGACACUGAGGCGCGAAAGCGUGGGGAGCAAACAGG